CCUACGGGAGGCAGCAGUGAGGAAUAUUGGUCAAUGGACGCAAGUCUGAACCAGCCAUGCCGCGUGCAGGAAGACGGCUCUAUGAGUUGUAAACUGCUUUUGUACGAGGGUAAACGCAGAUACGUGUAUCUGUCUGAAAGUAUCGUACGAAUAAGGAUCGGCUAACUCCGUGCCAGCAGCCGCGGUAAUACUGAGGAUUCAAGCGUUAUCCGGAUUUAUUGGGUUUAAAGGGUGCGUAGGCGGUCGUAUAAGUUAGAGGUUAAAUCCCGAGGCUCAACUUCUGUACGGCACUGGAUACUUGCGAGCUAGAAGGAGGUAGAGGUAACGGGAAUUCCUGGUGUAGCGGUGAAAUGCUUAGAUAUCAGGAGGAACAUCGGUGGCGUAAGCGCUUUACUGGGCCGUAAUUGACGCUGAGGAACGAAAGCCAGGGUAGCAAAUGGGAUUAGAUACCCGAGUAGUC
rnacentral:rRNA from 1 species